rnacentral:rRNA from 1 species
UACGUAGGGUGCGAGCGUUGUCCGGAAUUAUUGGGCGUAAAGAGCUCGUAGGCGGUGUGUCACGUCGGCCGUGAAAACCUGCAGCUUAACUGUGGGCGUGCGGUCGAUACGGGCAUCACUGGAGUUCGGCAGGGGAGACUGGAAUUCCUGGUGUAGCGGUGAAAUGCGCAGAUAUCAGGAGGAACACCGGUGGCGAAGGCAGCUCGCUGGGACGGUACUGACGCUAAGGUGCGAAAGCGUGGGGAGCGAACAGG